CAUUCGAGUGGCGGACGGGUGAGUAACGCGUGGGUAACCUGACUUACACAGGGGGAUAACACCUGGAAACAGGUGCUAAUACCGCAUAAGCGCACAGGGCCGCAUGGCCCGGUGUGAAAAACUCCGGUGGUGUAAGAUGGACCCGCGUCUGAUUAGCUUGUUGGCGGGGUAGGGGCCCACCAAGGCGACGAUCAGUAGCCGGCCUGAGAGGGUGGACGGCCACAUUGGGACUGAGACACGGCCCAAACUCCUACGGAAGGCAGCAG
rnacentral:rRNA from 1 species